GUUGAACGCUGGCGGAAUGCUUUACACAUGCAAGUCGAACGGUAGAGGGGGCAACCCCUCGAGAGUGGCGAACGGGUGAGUAAUAUAUCGGAACGUGCCCAGUCGUGGGGGAUAACGUAGCGAAAGUUACGCUAAUACCGCAUACGAUCUAAGGAUGAAAGCGGGGGAUCGCAAGACCUCGCGCGAUUGGAGCGGCCGAUAUCAGAUUAGGUAGUUGGUGGAGUAAAGGCUCACCAAGCCAACGAUCUGUAGCUGGUCUGAGAGGACGACCAGCCACACUGGAACUGGGACCCGGUCCAGACUCCUACGGGAGGCAGCAGUGGGGAAUUUUGGACAAUGGACGCAAGUCUGAUCCAGCCCUUCCGCGUGCAGGAUGAAGGCCCUCGGGUUGUAAACUGCUUUUGUACGGAACGAAAAGGUCUCUCUUAGUACGGGGGGCUCAUGACGGUACCGUAAGAAUAAGCACCGGCUAACUACGUGCCAGCAGCCGCCGUAA
rnacentral:rRNA from 1 species